rnacentral:misc_RNA from 1 species
AAGUCGUAACAAGGUUUCCGUAGGUGAACCUGCGGAAGGAUCAUUAACACGUUAUCCACGUAUCAACCAACCGAGAACCCGUUUUCACACUCUCCUCUGGGGAAUGAAUUGAGCUUGCUUAGAGUUAUUGGAAGGGAUGCUUGCGUCAGGCUCUACUCGCUACUUGUACAAACCUAUAGCUUUUGUUAUUAAUUGUACUAACAGUUGUAUCUUUCGGAGGUUUACAGUUCACUAUGUUCGGGUCUCCUACCAUUGACUUUUUCUGUGAACAUAAAUUUACCCAUUUCACCCUAUUUUUGCUAGUUGACUCUUAUAUGUUGUACAUUUGUUUCGGCACUUGUGCACACGUUUAAUUAUUUGAACGUUAAAAAUACAACUCUUAGCAAUGGAUAUCUAGGUUCUC